rnacentral:rRNA from 1 species
UACGUAGGUGGCAAGCGUUGUCCGGAUUUAUUGGGUUUAAAGAGUGCGUAGGCGGCUUUGUAAGUCAGUGGUGAAAUAUGGCAGCUCAACUGUCAGGGUGCCAUUGAUACUGCGGAGCUUGAGUACAGAUGAGGUAGGCGGAAUUGACGGUGUAGCGGUGAAAUGCUUAGAUAUCGUCAAGAACACCGAUAGCGAAGGCAGCUUACUAGGCUGUAACUGACGCUGAGGCACGAAAGUGUGGGGAUCAAACAGG